UCCUCGAUAGCUCAGCGGCAGAGCGGCGGACUGUUAAUCCGCUGGACCAUUGUUCGAUCCCAGGUCGAGCAA
rnacentral:tRNA from 1 species